GAAGAGCCUCGCCGGGCGUGGUUGGUCCCAAGCUUUGACCAUUUCUGCCUCGGCCUCUUCGACGACCGCGUACGCUCAAAAUCCAGCCGGUCGCCUUCGAGCUUGGCCACCUCUGCCGGUCGCCUCCAAGCUUGGCCACCUCUGCCGUUGCCGUCAAGAGCCACUCGCUCCCAAGAACCCCGCCGGUCGUGGUUGGGUCCCGACCAUGUCCGCCUUGGCCUCUUCAGCGAGCGUGGACACCAAAAGCCCGCUGCUUGCCUCCAAGCUCGAUCGCCUCCGCUGUCACCGCCAGGAGCUACCCGCUCCGAAGAGCCCCGUCGGUCGUGGCUGCAUCCCAAGCUAUGACCUUCUCCGCCUGUGCCUCCUCGGUGAUCGCGGACACCCAAAAGCUCACCGGGCGCGUCCGAGCUCGGCCGCGCCGUUGCCACUUUCUCCACGGGUCUUGGCUAGGUCCCAAGCUGUAAUCGUCUUCUCCUUGCCUUCUUCAGCAAGUGCAGACACCCGAAAGCCCACCAGUCCAGUGGCCUCCGAGCUGCAAGGCAGUUAAACAAAACCUUGCAAUGCAUUUUUCUCUGAUGGCGUGGGCACUGAAAUGCUACUGGAGCUACUAGGAAAAACUGAAACGUACCGAGAUCAAUGUGCUGAAAUUCUGAAAGGUCCCAUAUGUUUAGAGAGUAUUGAGAUGGUUCUUCAAGAAAUGGACAGUUUCACUGUCAAUUUCCCAGAGUUCAAACUUCUGAGGGAAUAUCAUAUGCAAGCUAGUUCUUGGAUAUCCCGCUUCAACCGUUUGCGGGUGAACAUUGGCGAAAGAGUUGAUCAAGACAAUGUCGUAGAGGAGUUGACCAACAUACUAAAAGAUGCAGUGUCUCUGAAAAUUCAAGUUAGAGAAUUGCCUCUUGUUGAGCUUGAGCUGAAGAAGGCUUGUUGCAGGGCAAAGGCUCUACAGGCUCGUUCAGAUUAAAGGACCUUGAACUUCCUUCAGCAACUAUUGAUUGAAGCUGUCGGACUACAGAUUGAAGGCGAAAACUUGUUUGUCUAUAUUUCUGGGCUUGUUGAUGCUGCUACACGUUGGGAAGAAAGUGCAGUGCAGAUUCUAGCUCUGGAGGCUCAGCUGCCUGAAUAUGAGGAAGUUCUGAGGAGUUCGGAGGACAUUCAUGUGAUCUUGCCUUCUUUACCUCAUAUCAUCUCGACAAUUACAAUGUCUAAGUCUUGGUUGAAGAAUUCGGAACCAUUUUUGGGGUCUGCUCACACGAAUAGGGGAUCACCAAGUUUGUUGCUUGAAGUCGAUAAAUUGAAGUGGAGGAUACAGGGAUAGGUAUUCCUCCAGAGGCGCAAUCCCGUGUUUUCACUCCUUUCAUGCAAGUGCGCCCAUCAAUUUCUCGAACACAUGGGGGCACAGGUAUUGGGCUAAGCAUAAGCAAAUGUCUGGUUGGCCUCAUGAAUGGGGAGAUUGGAUUUGUAAGCAUACCCCAGGUGGGAUCCACGUUUACCUUUACUGCAGUUUUCAAUGAUGCCUGUUCUACCUCAAAAGAGUGCAAGGGCCAGCAAGUGAAAGGACAAGGUGACUCUGGCACCUCAGAAUUUCAUGGUAUCAAAGCAGUGGUAGUUGACACAAGACCUGUCCGUGCCAAUGUAUGAAAGUAUCAUAUCCAGAGGCUUGGUAUUCAUGUUGAGGUAGUUGCAGACUUGAACCAGUGCUUCCACACCAUACAAAGUGGGAAUUGCAGAAUAGAUAUGGUGCUCUUGGAAUGGGAAAUUUGGGACAAGGACUCUGGUUUGUCGGCAAUCUUUCUGGAUAAAUUGAGGGACAUGAAGCCACGGGUGUCUCCACGGUUGUUUCUUCUAUCUAAUUCUAUCAGCUCUAGUGGGAUGAGUGGUGCGACUACAGAUGCUACUGGUCCAUCUGUGAUCAUGAAGCCUCUAAGGGCUAGUAUGCUGGUGGCGUCUUUACAGCGCGUCAUGGGAGUUGAAAACCGAAUAAGUUGCUCCAAUGGGGAGUCUCCGAGUCUGUCUCUCCGCAACCUUCUCCGUGGCAGAAAAAUCCUAGUCGUGGAUGACAACAAAGUAAAUCUCAGAGUGGCCGAGGGAGCUUUGAGGAAAUAUGGAGGUGAUGUGGUUUGUACGGACAGUGGGGAAAAAGCAAUUGCUUUGCUCAGACCACUGCAUGAUUUUGAUGCCUGCUUCAUGGAUAUCCAGAUGCCAGGAAUGGAUGGGUGGUGAUAAUGGAUACGUGCAUCUAAUGGUUCUAUAAUUCCUUUGAUCAGAUUUGAAGCUACAAAAAGAAUUUGACAGAUGGAACAAAGUCCGAGCAAGGAAUUCCUACCGGGACAGUCAUCCUCAGAGCCACGUGAAAAUAUCUCGAAUUUCCACCUAUUGAUCUUGGCCAUGACUGCAGAUGUGAUUCACGCUACUCAUGAAGAAUGCACAAAGUAUGGAAUGGACGGAUAUGUUUCAAAGCCCUUUGAAGCGGAACAACUUUUUAGAGAAGUUUCGCUCCUUUUCCUGGUCAUCACUGAAUCGAAACUUGUAGAGAGGCCACCAUAGAUGGCUAAUUGUUUUGGUGAGCAGAAGUCUUGGUUGUUUAGGCACUUUGGCAGCCUUACCGGUGAACUUUUGAAUUCUUUAACAAGAGUGUCUUGUCACGGGAGCAUAUACAUAAAGAAGCUAAGGUCACCUGCUGGAGUUGAAUUUUCAUUGAUUUCCCUACGAGUGGCAUAUUGGUUUAAAACCACUUCAAGUAUUUUUUUUGUACAACUGAUCUGAACCGUUUGCAAGAUGACGAUUGGUAAUUAGGCGAUCUGAAGUUCGCCAAUUGAACUCUGGAUUGAUGGCUGCUUGGAAAUGGUGCAGGAAUCUCUUCGACAUAGGUGCAUAUCUAUAGACUAGACCCUAAUAGUGUGUACAUGUGUCACGGGCCAAAAGUGAGCCCAUCCCAGAGGUUUCUAGAGGACGAUCGCGACUCACCCCUGGACCUCCUACUUUCACUCGGAUUCCCAUCAAGUCUUCUCCCCGAAGUUUCCAAGGGCGGGCGACACCGUCAUUACGUUUGAUUCUAGAAGUCUCUUAUGUUAUUUAUGUCGGAAGACGGUAGUUAGCAUUUAUGUUAGUAGUUGAUGGCUAUCAUUUAUGUUGGUGGUGAGUAGCCACCAUCAGUGUCGGUAGUUGAGCCGGUGCAAUCUCGUCAGAUCAGAUUUAGAUCAACGGAUGUAAUUAGAGGGCCUCGAGUAUAAGAGGGGUGCCCUCCCCCUCAUUUGUAUCUAUCUAGCUAUUUUAGUUUAUAAAAGUUCAUUUCUUUUCA